rnacentral:tRNA from 1 species
GGCCCCGUGGCGGAAUGGCAGACGCUUCGGACUUAAAAUCCGCUGCCCUAACGGGCGUCUGGGUUCGACUCCCAGCGGGGCCA